AUACGUAGGGGGCGAGCGUUAUCCGGAUUCACUGGGUGUAAAGGGAGCGUAGACGGCGAUGCAAGCCUGAUGUGAAAACCCGCAGCUCAACUGCGGGCCUGCAUUGGGAACUGUAUAGCUGGAGUACUGGAGGGGCAGGCGGAAUUCCUGGUGUAGCGGUGGAAUGCGUAGAUAUCAGGAAGAACACCGGUGGCGAAGGCGGCCUGCUGGACAGAUACUGACGUUGAGGCUCGAAAGCGUGGGGAGC
rnacentral:rRNA from 1 species